rnacentral:rRNA from 1 species
AACGAACGCUGGCGGCGUGCCUAAUACAUGCAAGUCGAGCGAAUGGAUGGGAGCUUGCUCCCUGAAGUUAGCGGCGGACGGGUGAGUAACACGUGGGCAACCUGCCUGUAAGACUGGGAUAACUUCGGGAAACCGGAGCUAAUACCGGAUACAUUCUUUCUUCGCCUGAAGAAAGAUGGAAAGAUGGUUUCGGCUAUCAUUUACAGAUGGGCCCGCGGCGCAUUAGCUAGUUGGUGAGGUAACGGCUCCCCAAGGCAACGAUGCGUAGCCGACCUGAGAGGGUGAUCGGCCACACUGGGACUGAGACACGGCCCAGACUCCUACGGGAGGCAGCAGUAGGGAAUCUUCCGCAAUGGACGAAAGUCUGACGGAGCAACGCCGCGUGAGCGAAGAAGGCCUUCGGGUCGUAAAGCUCUGUUGUUAGGGAAGAACAAGUACCAGAGUAACUGCUGGUACCUUGACGGUACCUAACCAGAAAGCCACGGCUAACUACGUGCCAGCAGCCGCAGUAAAAC